UCGAGGUCGGCCGGCACAUCAGCUCGGUAGUCGGUUUUCGUGGUUUAAUAUUUUAUAAUAAAAUUAUAAUCGUAGUCUUCGAAGAUGUGCGCAACGCAAAAUAACUCAACACUGCGAGUGGCUCGUGACACGGUGGCCAAUAGAUUCCGGGUGGCUACGAGAUGCUGGUGUGACAUUCCAGUCCACCGAAUAAUCAUCGUGUGGUUAAGUGUGUAACUAAAAUGUUGAGAUUUAUAAAUAAAUGACAUAAAUAAAUA